rnacentral:lncRNA from 1 species
CCAGUACUCCCACAACUCGCCAGAAACAUAAAUUCCUUUAUAGAAAAUUGAAAGCGGAGUUUCGCUAAGAUCCUGCGUAGAUCCUCCGCCAGAGACCUGCGCAGGAUCAAAGUGUAAAACAAAGGCUUAUCCAAAAACAACUCUUUAUAUUACAUUUUUCAACAGUCUUUACAAAUUAUUCAGAACCUUCGGCCUUACAAAAAGCGUCACACAUACAGACGCAAACAAGCUAAGAAAAAAUCUACAAACUAAAAAGCCUCACACCUGAGGCAG